UACGAGAGGCCCAAACGUUAUUCGGAUUUACUGGGCUUAAAGAGUUCGUAGGCGGCGCGGAAAGUAGGGUGUGAAAGCCCUCGGCUCAACCGAGGAAUUGCGCUCUAAACUACCGUGCUUGAGGAACCUAGAGGUGAGCAGAACUGAUGGUGGAGCGGUGAAAUGCGUUGAUAUCAUCAGGAAUACCGGAGGCGAAGGCGGCUCACUGGGGGUUAUCUGACGCUGAGGAACGGAAAGCCAGGGGAGCAAACGGG
rnacentral:rRNA from 1 species